AGAAUCAACGCUGGCGGCGUGCCUAACACAUGCAAGUCGAACGAGAAAGGGACUUCGGUCCUGAGUAAAGUGGCGCACGGGUGAGUAACACGUGACUAACCUACCCUUGAGUGGGGAAUAACUUCGAGAAAUCGAGGCUAAUACCGCAUAAUACCUACGGGUCAAAGGAGCAAUUCGCUUAAGGAGGGGGUCGCGGCAGAUUAGCUAGUUGGCGGGGUAAUGGCCCACCAAGGCAGUGAGUCUGUA
rnacentral:rRNA from 1 species